UUUUGAUGAAUGAUACAUAAAUAAAUUUUCAUUGUUUUCUGUUUUAACUAUUAUUUUAUAAACCAUGUCCUUUUUGGACAUUACCAUUGAUACUUUGCCACUUUUUGAAAACGAAGAACUUUUCAAAAAAUUACUUUUGCUCUACAACCACAUUGAUGGCUAAUAUAUCCUUUAUUACUGUGAAUGUACAUGCAUUCGUAUCUAGUAGUUUCAAAUUUCAAACUGCUGAGUUGUCAAAUAAUAAGUUAAUUUUUUAAUAAUUUUACUUUUUGGUUAAUUUUUUUUUUCCCAAAGCCAGAAAAUUAAAUAUAGUCUUAAACAGAAAGUUGCUAAUAUAUGAAACAAAAUUUUAAAAAAAAGUAUUUUUAAGUUCAUCAAAAGCCCCACUACCAUUUACUGUGGAUGAACUGGUCAUCAUAUUGGACCUUGGACAUCAGUAACUAUGUAUCCCCAUAACUUGUGGUCUUUUAAUCAAUUUGGAGUCCAUGAAGCCGUGUCCUAAAUCUAGUGAGGGUCUGUUGACCUGCAUACAUUUAACGGAUUAUAUCUUUACAAGGCUGUCCAAAUAUAAAUUGCACAAUUGAUAGAUCCACGGCUUAAAAAGCAAAUCUUCCGAUCUCCUUUCAACGCUGGACAUGCCGAACAAUUUUUAAAAAAAUGAGAUGACCGUCUUCAUAAAUGCCACAGUUAGUCAAAAAAUAUUGAAGAUUUGCACAGAAUUGAAGCACUUGGAUGAAAAUAUAAAUCCCCUACAAUACUGUAACUGUAUCUAUGUAAUGUAACAUACCUAUUUUCACUAACCAUUACGAGAAUUACUAAAUUUUAA